rnacentral:rRNA from 1 species
UACGUAGGUGGCGAGCGUUGUCCGGAUUUAUUGGGUUUAAAGGGUGCGCAGGCGGCACGGCAAGCCGGCGGUCAAAUCGCGGGGCUCAACCCCGCCCAGCCGUCGGAACUGCCGGGCUAGAGUGGGCGAGAAGUGCGCGGAAUGCGUGGUGUAGCGGUGAAAUGCAUAGAUAUCACGCAGAACUCCGAUUGCGAAGGCAGCGCACCGGCGCCCUACUGACGCUCAGGCACGAAAGCGUGGGUAUCGAACAGG